AGAGUUUGAUCCUGGCUCAGGACGAACGCUGGCGGCACGCUUAACACAUGCAAGUCGAACGAGAGAAGAGGAGCUUGCUUUUCUGAUCUAGUGGCGGACGGGUGAGUAACACGUGAGCAAUCUGCCUUUCAGAGGGGGAUACCGAUUGGAAACGAUCGUUAAUACCGCAUAACAUAAUUGAACCGCAUGAUUUGAUUAUCAAAGAUUUAUCGCUGAAAGAUGAGCUCGCGUCUGAUUAGCUAGUUGGUAAGGUAACGGCUUACCAAGGCGACGAUCAGUAGCCGGACUGAGAGGUUGAUCGGCCACAUUGGGACUGAGACACGGCCCAGACUCCUACGGGAGGCAGCAGUGGGGAAUAUUGCACAAUGGAGGAAACUCUGAUGCAGCGACGCCGCGUGAGGGAAGAAGGUUUUAGGAUUGUAAACCUCUGUCUUCAGGGACGAAAAAAGACGGUACCUGAGGAGGAAGCUCCGGCUAACUACGUGCCAGCAGCCGCGGUAAUACGUAGGGAGCGAGCGUUGUCCGGAAUUACUGGGUGUAAAGGGAGCGUAGGCGGGAUCGCAAGUCAGAUGUGAAAACUAUGGGCUUAACCCAUAAACUGCAUUUGAAACUGUGGUUCUUGAGUGAAGUAGAGGUAAGCGGAAUUCCUAGUGUAGCGGUGAAAUGCGUAGAUAUUAGGAGGAACAUCAGUGGCGAAGGCGGCUUACUGGGCUUUAACUGACGCUGAGGCUCGAAAGCGUGGGGAGCAAACAGGAUUAGAUACCCUGGUAGUCCACGCCGUAAACGAUGAUUACUAGGUGUGGGGGGACUGACCCCUUCCGUGCCGCAGCAAACGCAAUAAGUAAUCCACCUGGGGAGUACGACCGCAAGGUUGAAACUCAAAGGAAUUGACGGGGGCCCGCACAAGCAGUGGAGUAUGUGGAUUAAUUCGAAGCAACGCGAAGAACCUUACCAGGUCUUGACAUCGUAUGCAUAGCUCAGAGAUGAGUGAAAUCUCUUCGGAGACAUAUAGACAGGUGGUGCAUGGUUGUCGUCAGCUCGUGUCGUGAGAUGUUGGGUUAAGUCCCGCAACGAGCGCAACCCUUACUGUUAGUUGCUACGCAAGAGCACUCUAGCAGGACUGCCGUUGACAAAACGGAGGAAGGUGGGGAUGACGUCAAAUCAUCAUGCCCCUUAUGACCUGGGCCUCACACGUACUACAAUGGCUGUCAACAGAGGGAAGCAAAGCCGCGAGGUGGAGCGAACCCCUAAAAGCAGUCUUAGUUCGGAUUGUAGGCUGCAACCCGCCUACAUGAAGUCGGAAUUGCUAGUAAUCGCAGAUCAGCAUGCUGCGGUGAAUACGUUCCCGGGCCUUGUACACACCGCCCGUCACGCCAUGGGAGUCGGUAACACCCGAAGCCUGUAGUCUAACCGCAAGGAGGACGCAGUCGAAGGUGGGAUUGAUGACUGGGGUGAAGUCGUAACAAGGUA
rnacentral:rRNA from 1 species